rnacentral:miRNA from 18 species
AAACGCCAUUAUCACACUAAAUA